UUAAGCCCUACAUUCUCAAACAGCAAAAAGUUGAAUAACACUCCAUCUUCAUCGUCUAAAGAAGACGUCUGUGCACUGCUUGCGUAAGCAUAAAUAUUUCUUUAGAAAUUUUGGUGUUCUGUUGUCUUGUUUAGAAAUUUUUCAUUUAACAUGUUGAAGAGAACGAUCUUAGCAUUUAAAACAAAAAUGUUAUACUUCUUUUUAAGCCCUGCAUAUCAAGCAAACACCAAGAAGACAAAUAGCACUGCAUCCUCAACAUUUAUGUAAGCAUAAUCAUUUUAAUAUGUAGCAUGUUCAGUCACUUUGUUUGCGAAGAAAGUCUUAUGAAUCUUAAGCUGUUGUCCUUCUUUCUUAGCCCUCCAUUCCUGAACAACAAGAAGUCAAAAAAUACUGGACCUUCAGCAUCUCUGUUUUCAAUAAAUGA